UGUUGGCAUGGCUCAAUCAAA
rnacentral:miRNA from 1 species